rnacentral:rRNA from 1 species
GUGGGGAAUAUUGCACAAUGGGCGCAAGCCUGAUGCAGCCAUGCCGCGUGUAUGAAGAAGGCCUUCGGGUUGUAAAGUACUUUCAGUCGGGAGGAAGGUGGUGAGCUUAAUACGCUCAUCAAUUGACGUUACCGACAGAAGAAGCACCGGCUAACUCCGUGCCAGCAGCCGCGGUAAUACGGAGGGUGCAAGCGUUAAUCGGAAUUACUGGGCGUAAAGCGCACGCAGGCGGUUGAUUGAGUCAGAUGUGAAAUCCCCGGGCUUAACCCGGGAAUUGCAUCUGAUACUGGUCAGCUAGAGUCUUGUAGAGGGGGGUAGAAUUCCAUGUGUAGCGGUGAAAUGCGUAGAGAUGUGGAGGAAUACCGGUGGCGAAGGCGGCCCCCUGGACAAAGACUGACGCUCAGGUGCGAAAGCGUGGGGAGCAAACAGGAUUAGAUACCCUAGUAGUCC